rnacentral:rRNA from 1 species
AGGGAAUCUUGCGCAAUGGGCGAAAGCCUGACGCAGCAACGCCGCGUGGGGGAAGAAGGCCUUCGGGUUGUAAACCCCUUUCAGGAGGGAAGAAAAUGACGGUACCUCCAGAAGAAGCACCGGCCAACUACGUGCCAGCAGCCGCGGUAAUACGUAGGGUGCGAGCGUUAUCCGGAAUCAUUGGGCGUAAAGAGCUCGUAGGCGGUUCAACAAGUCGGCUGUGAAAGUCCGGGGCUCAACCCCGGAAUUGCAGUCGAUACUGUUGUGACUUGAGUCCGGUAGAGGAGAAUGGAAUUCCCGGUGUAGCGGUGGAAUGCGCAGAUAUCGGGAGGAACACCAGUAGCGAAGGCGGUUCUCUGGGCCGGCACUGACGCUGAGGCGCGAAAGCGUGGGGAGCAAAC